GGCACUGUGGUUUAGCUGGCUAAAGUGCCUGUCUUGUAAGCAGGUGAUCCUGGCUUCAAAUCCCAGUGGUGCCU
rfam:Pelodiscus sinensis unplaced genomic scaffold scaffold5465, whole genome shotgun sequence.